UACGUAGGGUGCGAGCGUUGUCCGGAAUUACUGGGCGUAAAGGGCUCGUAGGCGGCCAACUAAGUCAGACGUGAAAUCCCUCGGCUUAACCGGGGAACUGCGUCUGAUACUGGAUGGCUUGAGUUUGGGAGAGGGAUGCGGAAUUCCAGGUGUAGCGGUGAAAUGCGUAGAUAUCUGGAGGAACACCGGUGGCGAAGGCGGCAUCCUGGACCAACACUGACGCUGAUGAGCGAAAGCUAGGGGAGCAAACGGG
rnacentral:rRNA from 1 species